UGUUGAGGUGAAGGAGCCACUUGGAUGUCUGUCAGAGAAAGUUGGAUUGUUUAGAACUAAAGCAGGUGGCAAGGAAAGUCACACCUCAUUCGAGAAGCUCAGUUUUAAUGGACAAUCCAGUGUCGUCAAAUGUAUACCAUACACUGGACGAACACAUCAGAUUCGAAUACAUCUACAAUUUUUGGGUCACCCUAUAGUGAAUGAUCCAUUUUACAACAGUGAAGCAUGGGGGAAAGAGAGAGGCAAGGGGGGUGUUUAUGACCAUUCAGAGGAAGAG